UACGUAGGGGGCAAGCGUUGUCCGGAAUCAUUGGGCGUAAAGCGCGUGUAGGCGGCUCGGUAAGUCUGCUGUGAAAGUCCAGGGCUCAACCCUGGGAUGCCGGUGGAUACUGUCGAGCUCGAGUCCGGAAGAGGCGAGUGGAAUUCCUGGUGUAGCGGUGAAAUGCGCAGAUAUCGGGAGGAACACCGGUGGCGAAGGCGGUUCUCUGGGCCGAUACUGACGCUGAGGAGCGAAAGCAUGGGUAGCGAACAGG
rnacentral:rRNA from 1 species